AUUACCUUCUCAGCCACCUAAAUUCCUGUACUCCUUGAUUGAGACCCAUUUCAAAAUUUAAUUCCAGGGUUUCCAAAACAAUUAGCUACAGGUUUACACUUCCAAAAACAUGAAGUUCAAGUUUCCUCUUUGCGGUUCAAGUUGUUUCUCAUCCUCUAGAUCAAAUUCAAAGCCCACCAUCAGUACAACUAGUCCAGCUCUCUUGUUGAUUGCUUUCUGUUCAUAAACCAACAAAAACCAGGUGAACAGAACCAUGGCAACCUGCGAAUUUUCUCUACUCAAGAACUGCAAAUCGCCACUCGUGGCUUCUCGUCCUCAAACAAGAUUGGAGAAGGAGCCUUCGGUUCUGUGUACAGGGUAAUUUCCGGUCCUCUCACAUCAUGUGUGCAGGAAAACCUCAUAAUUUGACCUUUGGUAAGGUCAGUUGUUGUAUGCACCUAUCUGCAAGAAAUGUAGAUCUAUUAACUGGGCAGGUUGUGCCUCCGGAACAAUUGACUUGAAGAAAUUAGAGUGCUUGAAGCAAACGUGUGACUUACCUUACAUGGGUAUAUCUUGUAUGUUCACCAAAUGCUAAUGUGUGACUUUGGUUUGAUUUUGAAGGGCCACCUGGCUGAUGGUUCUGUUGUAGCUGUAAAGGUUCUUUCUGUGGAGAUCGAAUCGAUGCGUGGAGAGAGAGAAUUCAUAUCUGAGUUAGCUGCACUGUCUAAUAUAAAGCAUGCAAAUCUUGUUGAACUUCAAGGAUGUUGUGUUGAUGGAGCCAACAGAUAUUUGGUCUUCGAUUACAUGGAAAACAAUAGCCUGGCACAGACCCUACUCGGUAAUAAUCUUUCCUUCCUCCUAUAUAUGAUUAAUUUAUUUGAUCAAAUUCUUCUUAAUGAACCCAGAAAAAGGGCUCAAUCAAUACUUGAACAUCUGUAUAUAAAUAGGCAAAUUUAAACUAGGAAAAUUUGUUCUUUGUCAUGUAUGCUAUGCUUGAUUAAUAGGCAAAGAGCAAAACAGGAUGAAAUUUAGCUGGGAAGCAAGGAGGGAUAUUUCAUUAGGAGUUGCUCGUGGGCUGGCCUAUCUUCAUGAGGAAGUUCAACCCCAUAUCGUGCAUAGAGAUAUAAAAGCAAGCAAUAUACUUCUUGAUCGAAAUUUUGCUCCCAAAGUGGCUGAUUUUGGUCUUUCCAGGAUACUUAGAGACCAGGCUUCACAUAUUAGUACUCGGGUUGCAGGCACAUUGUAAGUGGAUUCUGCAUUCUUGUUUCUUUGUUUUAUACUAUUAAUUAAGAAAAAUACCAUAGCUAAUCAGGUUUCUUGGACUCAAAAUUGCAAAAAAAGAGGAUACCUUGCUCCAGAAUACGCCAUUACAGGACAUUUGACACGAAAGUCGGAUGUUUACAGUUUUGGAGUACUGUUGUUGGAAAUUAUCAGUGGGCGAUCAGUUGUGGAUUUUGACUUGGAACUUGGCGAACAUUACCUAGUUCGAAAGGUGGAAAUGUUAAAGCAAAUGUUUAAUUAUUGCUAUGAUUGUUUUUUAUAUUGGUUUAUGAAUUUCUUGACCACAACAUCGUCUUCUUGUUUAGAUGAAGUGUUUUGUGUGUGUGGAUAACUGCAGGCAUGGCAAGCCUACAAGAGCAACAAACUUAUGCAGGUAGUAGACCCUGCUCUUAAAAUGAACUUUCCAGAAGAAGAAGCUUUUCGGUUCUUGAUGGUCAGCCUACUUUGCGUGCAAGAAACAGCCAAGCUCCGUCCACAUAUGUCAAUGGCCGUGAAAAUGUUGAAUAAUGAAACUGACAUCAGAGACGUUCAGAUUUCUCAACCUGGACUUGUUCCAAAUCUCAAGGAUAUCAGAUUACCUCAGAAACACACAUCUGAAAGCACUUCCUCCGGGGGAUCAACCAUCAUGAGCUUGCCUAGUACUACAUAUUUUUAGUCCAUUACGCCUGUUAUAGAGACGGAGAAAGGGAAAGAAAAUAUUGUUUUUGCUUGUAUGAUAUCAAAAGGGC
rnacentral:misc_RNA from 1 species